rnacentral:tRNA from 1 species
GUAGGAAUAGCUCAAUGUAGAGCACAGGCUUGGCAUGCAUGAGGUCCUGGGUUCAAUUCCCAGUGCUUCCA